GACCCAGAGAUUACCAGAACUUUUGAGUUCACCUAACCUAUAUUUCUCCUACAAACCAUUCAAUAAAAAUGACUAUAUGGAUGAAUGUCAUCUUGACACUCUUCAUUUUUAAAGAUGUUCUGGCUGAUGUUUCUAUAACUGAAUCAGGAGGAGGAGUGAAAAGACCUGGAGAUUCUCUUCGACUUACUUGCACAUCCUCUGGGUUCAGUAUUGAUAGCUACUGGAUGCACUGGGUCCGUCAAGCAGAUGGAAAAGGUUUGGAGUGGAUCUCACAAAUGAAUAAAGGCACCACAUAUUACGACAGCUCUUUUAAAGGGUGAUUCACAAUCUCGAAAGAUAGUUCCAGGAACCUAGUUUACCUAGACAUGAAUGGACUGAAAAGUGAAGACACAGCCAAGUAUUACUGUACAAGGGAACACACAGUGGAG